GGCUGCACAGUGGUUAAAGCGCUCAGCUGCUAAUUGAAAAGUUGGAGGUUUGAGCCCUCCAGCCG
rnacentral:tRNA from 1 species